rnacentral:rRNA from 1 species
UUCGCCCUUAGAGUUUGAUCCUGGCUCAGGACGAACGCUGGCGGCGCGCCUAACACAUGCAAGUCGAACGAGAGAGAGGGAGCUUGCUUCCUUGAUCGAGUGGCGAACGGGUGAGUAACGCGUGAGGAACCUGCCUCAAAGAGGGGGACAACAGUUGGAAACGACUGCUAAUACCGCAUAAGCCCACGACCCGGCAUCGGGAAGAGGGAAAAGGAGCAAUCCGCUUUGAGAUGGCCUCGCGUCCGAUUAGCUAGUUGGUGAGGUAACGGCCCACCAAGGCGACGAUCGGUAGCCGGACUGAGAGGUUGAACGGCCACAUUGGGACUGAGACACGGCCCAGACUCCUACGGGAGGCAGCAGUGGGGAAUAUUGCACAAUGGGGGAAACCCUGAUGCAGCGACGCCGCGUGGAGGAAGAAGGUCUUCGGAUUGUAAACUCCUGUUGUUGAGGAAGAUAAUGACGGUACUCAACAAGGAAGUGACGGCUAACUACGUGCCAGCAGCCGCGGUAAAACGUAGGUCACAAGCGUUGUCCGGAAUUACUGGGUGUAAAGGGAGCGCAGGCGGGCGAUCAAGUUGGAAGUGAAAUCCAUGGGCUCAACCCAUGAACUGCUUUCAAAACUGGUCGUCUUGAGUAGUGCAGAGGUAGGCGGAAUUCCCGGUGUAGCGGUGGAAUGCGUAGAUAUCGGGAGGAACACCAGUGGCGAAGGCGGCCUACUGGGCACCAACUGACGCUGAGGCUCGAAAGUGUGGGUAGCAAACAGGAUUAGAUACCCUGGUAGUCCACACCGUAAACGAUGAUUACUAGGUGUUGGGAGAUUGACCCUCUCAGUGCAGGCAAGUUAACACAAUAAGUAAUCCACCUGGGGAGUACGACCGCAAGGUUGAAACUCAAAGGAAAUUGACGGGGGCCCGCACAAGCAGUGGAGUAUGUGGUUUAAUUCGACGCAACGCGAAGAACCUUACCAAGUCUUGACAUCCUCUGACGAACGUAGAAAUACGUUUUCUCUUCGGAGCAGAGAGACAGGUGGUGCAUGGUUGUCGUCAGCUCGUGUCGUGAGAUGUUGGGUUAAGUCCCGCAACGAGCGCAACCCUUAUGGUCAGUUACUACGCAAGAGGACUCUGGCCAGACUGCCGUUGACAAAACGGAGGAAGGUGGGGAUGACGUCAAAUCAUCAUGCCCUUUAUGACUUGGGCUACACACGUACUACAAUGGCGUUAAACAAAGAGAAGCAAGACCGCGAGGUGGAGCAAAACUCAGAAACAACGUCCCAGUUCGGACUGCAGGCUGCAACUCGCCUGCACGAAGUCGGAAUUGCUAGUAAUCGUGGAUCAGCAUGCCACGGUGAAUACGUUCCCGGGCCUUGCACACACCGCCCGUCA